GCUGUGCAUUGGGAGGCUCACGUCCCCACCCUCGGGCUUUCCAAGGUGCCGCGCCAGGGGUUGCUGAGGUAGAGGUGGCUCCCCUGCUCCUCCUUCCACCUCUCCGAUUCCACCUCCUCCUCGCACCCCGCUGGGAACUCCUCCAGGGGCUGAGAUUGGAUUCACCGAGCCUGCGGAGAGUGGGGAACUGCGGGCAGGUCGGCGGAGUUAGAUGGCAGCAAAGGUGGGCCGGCUUGGUGUGAUAAAGUUCCAACUGGGUCCUUCCGCGAGCCCUGGGUCCAUAAGAUGUCAUCGGCGAGCGCUGGACUUGACCGUCAACUUGGGAUUGUUAAGGUAAAUGGUGUCUCCUUCUGUCGCCAAGGCGGUGGCAUGGUCUCGGCUGGCUGCAAUCUCCACCUCCUUGCUUCCAGCGAUUCUCCUGCCUCAGCCCCCCGAGUAGCAGAAAUUACAGGAGUUUCAUGGCAGGGCGCUUGGCUGGCUUGUUUAAAUUCAUUCUGAAUAAGAACUGAGGAUGUCAGCUUCUGGCCUCAUGGACUCUGGACUGAAGAGUCCCCUUGUCUAUCUAUCAUGAGACUGUACACGUAAGAAGCAAAAAACUAGUAACAUUUAAAAUAAAUAAUUUUGUUGUACAGAAAUACACGGAUGCACCUAAAACACAGAAAUGAUUCUUUUAAAAGUUGUGUUAGUCCUGGUGGGUGUGGCAGUGAUUCUUUUAGGUUUGGAGCUUGACUGAGAGAAUUUCCAGUCGGUAUUUGGAUGGAAGUUCCAGAUGAUCUGAUGGGUGGGGACUUAGGCUGUGUCCCCCCCCCAGGGGCCCUGGUUGAUUAGUUAUGGGGACUGCCUGCGAGGGUGCUGUGACCCAGUGUACUGUGGGGACUUCCAUCCUUCCCCUCCUUUCCCCACUCCGGGUGAUGCCAAUUCAUUGCGGGCUGACACUCUCAUUGGCAUAUGCCACCCUAUUCACCUAAUGGGCAUCACCUAGCAGCCAUUGUUACUCUGAAAACCGAG
rnacentral:lncRNA from 1 species